rnacentral:rRNA from 1 species
CAGUCGCCACGGUAACACGAGGGGGGCAAGCGUUGUUCGGAAUUAUUGGGCGUAAAGGGCGCGUAGGCGGUUUGGCAAGUUUGGUGUGAAAUCUUCGGGCUCAACUCGAAGUCUGCACCGAAAACUGCCGGGCUUGAGUAUGGGAGAGGUGAGUGGAAUUUCCGGUGUAGCGGUGAAAUGCGUAGAUAUCGGAAGGAACACCUGUGGCGAAAGCGGCUCACUGGACCAUUACUGACGCUGAGGCGCGAAAGCUAGGGGAGCAAACAGGAUCAGACCCCUGUAGUCCCUGUCUCUUAUACAC